GGCGACCGCUUUUGGAGUUCGAUUAAGCCAUGCGAGUAGAAAGAAAUUAGAUUCUUUGCGAACUGCUCAGUAACACGUGGAUAACCUGCCCUAUGCUCCGGAAUAACCUCGGGAAACUGAGAAUAAUACCGGAUAGAUCACAACGCCUGGAACGGUGUGUGGUUCAAAGGUCACGGCAUAGGAUGGGUCUGCGGCGUAUCAGGUCGUAGGGGGUGUAAAGGACCUCCUAGCCAUCGACGCGUACGGGUGUUGGGAGACAUAGCCCGGAGAUGGAUUCUGAGACACGAAUCCAGACCCUACGGGGUGCAGCAGGCGCGAAAACUUCACACUGCAGGAAACUGUGAUGAGGGAACUCCAAGUGCGCGCGCUUAUGUGUGCGCUUUUCUUGACUAUUAAUCGGUCUUGGAAUAAGGGCUGGGAAAGACCGGUGCCAGCCGCCGCGGUAAUACCGGCAGCUCAAGUGGUCGUCGCUUUUAUUGGGCCUAAAACGUCCGUAGCCUGUUUGGUAAAUCUGUGGGUAAAUCAACCAGCUUAACUGGUUGAAUUCUGCAGAGACUGCCAGACUAGGGACCGGGAGAGGUGUGGGGUACUCUAGGGGUAGGGGUAAAAUCCUGUCAUCCUUAGAGGACCACCAGUUGCGAAGGCGCCACACUGGAACGGAUCCGACGGUCAGGGACGAAGCCUAGGGGCACGAACCGGAUUAGAUACCCGGGUAGUCCUAGGUGUAAACGCUGUGAACUUGGUGUCGGGAGUCCGCAAUGGGCCCCCGGUGCCGGAGUGAAGAUGUUAAGUUCACUGCCUGGGGAGUACGGUCGCAAGGCUGAAACUUAAAGGAAUUGGCGGGGGAGCACUGCAACGGGAGGAGCGUGCGGUUU
rnacentral:rRNA from 1 species